GCAGCAGUCGAGAAUCAUUCGCAAUGGGGGAAACCCUGACGAUGCGACGCCGCGUGGAGGAUGAAGGCCUUAGGGUUGUAAACUCCUGUCAAGAGGGAAUAAGCAAGUGAAGGUACCUCUAGAGGAAGGGGCGGCUAAUUCCGUGCCAGCAGCCGCGGUAACACGGAAGCCCCGAGCGUUGUUCGGAUUCAUUGGGCGUAAAGGGUGCGUAUGCGGCGCGGAAAGUCCGGCGUGAAAGGCAGGGGCUCAACCUCUGGACUGCGUUGGAUACUUCCGUGCUUGAGGACUGGAGGGGAGACUGGAAUUCACGGUGUAGCAGUGAAAUGCGUAGAUAUCGUGAGGAAGACCGGUGGCGAAGGCGAGUCUCUGGACAGAUCCUGACGCUGAGGCACGAAGGCUGGGGGAGCGAACAGGAUUAGAUACCCUGGUAGUCCCAGCAGUAAACGAUGUGAGCUUGAUGUGGGGGGAUUCGACCCCUUCCGUGUCGAAGCUAACGCGAUAAGCUCACCGCCUGAGGAGUACGGCCGCAAGGCUAAAACUCAAAGAAAUUGACGGGGACCCGCACAAGCGGUGGAGUAUGUGGCUUAAUUCGAUGCAACGCGAAGAACCUUACCUGGCCUUGACAUGCAUUAUGUCGUCGGUGAAAGCCGGCUAGUCCUGGAAACAGGACGCUUUGCACAGGUGCUGCAUGGCUGUCGUCAGCUCGUGUCAUGAGAUGUUGGGUUAAGUCCCGCAACGAGCGCAACCCUUGUGGUCAGUUACUAACCGGCUUAGCCGGAGGACUCUGGCCAGACUGCCCUGUCAAACGGGGAGGAAGGUGGGGACGACGUCAAGUCAGUAUGGCCCUUAUGGCCAGGGCUGCACACGUACUACAAUGCCCGGUACAAUGUGAACCGAAACCGCGAGGUGGAGGAAAUCGCUCUUGAAAACCGGGCCCAGUUCGGAUUGGAGUCUGCAACUCGACUCCAUGAAGUCGGAAUCGCUAGUAAUGGCGUAUCAGCAACGACGCCGUGAAUACGUUCCCGGGUCUUGUACACACCGCCCGUCACAUCAUGGAAGUCUCCUGUACCCGAAGCACGUGCGCCAACCUUUCAGGAGGCAGCGUUCGAAGGU
rnacentral:rRNA from 1 species